rnacentral:lncRNA from 1 species
UCCUCUCAGAUUAUUUCACUAAUGGAAAACGGUAUGAAGCCAUUACAACUUUUCCCUGUGAUCUCAACUUUUUAUUAAAUCCCUAUUGAGUAAUGGAAUACAGAGAAGAAAAUCUGGCAUCUUCUGUAACAUUUUUUUUUUAAUUUUUGGUGCUCUCUAUCUCUUGUUUGGUCAUAAAUUCUUCAUAUCUCCAAAGAUCUACCAGUUUCAAGAACAUUUUGAAAUACAGCACAUUUUUGUGCUCUUCAUUCCUGUUUUAUUGUUCAUUUCAUCAUUUCCUGUGAGGGUGUGGAAGAUCCCAUUAUUCAGAGUUAAGUAAGAAAAGAGUGAGGAAAAGGGAGAAAAGGCCGAGGCAAAAACCAAGGAGGAAGAAAGAAACAUCAGUUUCCCUUGCUCACUGUCAAAGCUGCUUCUUCACUGUGACUCUAAAAGGCAUAAACUAUGCU